rnacentral:lncRNA from 1 species
CUAGAGUCUAGUGUGAGUGGGUAGAGUCUAGUGUGAGUGGGUAGAGUCUAGUGUGAGUGUGUAGAGUCUAGUGUGAGUGGGUAGAGUCUAGUGUGAGUGGGUAGAGUCUAGUGUGAGUGGUUAGAGUCUAGUGUGAGUGGGUAGAGUCUAGUGUGAGUGGGUAGAUUCUAGUGUGAGUGGGUAGAGUCUAGUGUGAGUGGGUAGAGUCUAGUGUGAGUGGGUAGAGUCUAGUGUGUGUGGGUAGAGUCUAGUGUGUGUGGGUAGAGUCUAGUGUGAGUGGGUAGAGUCUAUCUAGUGUGUGUGUGUGGGUAAAGGUGUGUGUGUGUGUGAGAGAGAGAGAGUGGGUAGAGUCCAGUGUGUGUGUGUGAGUGGCUAGAGUCUAUUGUGUGUGUGUGUGUGUGUGUGUGUGUGUGUGUGUGUGUGUGUGUGUGUGUGUGUGUGUGUGUGUGUGUGUGUGUGUGUGUGUGUGUGUGUGUGUGUGUGUGUGUGUGUGUGUGUGUGUGUGUGUGUGAGAGUGGCUAGAGUCCAGUGUAUGUGUGUGUGUUUAAGUGGCUAGAGUCCAGUGAGUGUGUGUGGCUAGAGUCCAGUGUGUGAUUGUGUGUGUGUGAGAGAGAGAGUGGUUAGAGUCCAGUGUGUGUGUGUGAGAGAGAGUGGGUGGAGUCCAGUGUGUGAGAGUGGGUGGAGUCCAUCCAGUUCCAGUGUGUGUGUGUGUGAUCCAGUGUGUGUGUGUGAGUGGCUUAGAGUCCAGUGUGUGUGUGUGUGUGUGUGUGAGAGGCUAGAGUCCAGUGUGUGUGUGUGAGUGGCUUAGAGUCCAGUGUGUGUGUGUGUGUGUGUGUGUGAGAGGCUAGAGUCCAGUGUGUGUGGCUAGAGUCCAGUGUGUGAUUGUGUGUGGCUAGAGUCGUGUGUGUGUGUGUGUGUGUGUUCCAGUGUGUGUGUGAGAGUGGGUAGAGUCCAGUGUGUGUGUGAGAGUGGGUAGAGUCCAGUGUGUGUGUGAGAGUGGGUAGAGUCCAGUGUGUGUGUGAGAGUGGGUAGAGUCCAGUGUGUGUGUGUGAGAGUGGGUAGAGUCCAGUGUGUGUGUGUGAGUGGGUAGAGUCCAGUGUGUGUGUGAGUGGGUAGACUCCAGUGUGUGUGUGUGAGUGGGUAGACUCCAGUGUGUGAG